rnacentral:lncRNA from 1 species
CAGAGGGGUUUGACCUUAACCAGCUCACAGAUCUCAAUUUUUGCAGACAAAAGAUUAAUUAGCACCCGCCGUGAAAUGAAGUGGUGUGUGAAGAUGACAUGUUGCUUCUCUGAGACCUUAGGAAAUGAUUUAACGAAGCCAAAUUCUGGAACGGUGGUUCGUGUCAUGCAAAGAUCCAUUGAGGGCAAGCUUUAAGAGGGCUUAGAAUUGCAGGACAAACCACAGAGUGGGGGGCACAGAGAACAAGGUUUCCUGCCAUCUCACUACUCUGAUCGUCUUGGCUGUAGUUCCAUCACCUUCCAUCACAGACUAUUGCCCAGGUAAAUGCAAGCCAUUUCUGAGGAGUUGGCAAACUUUUCCAGAAACCCUAGAAGACAUCCCCUUGGGCCUCAGCUAUAACCAAAUUGCACAAGCAGCCACUGAUACAUAACUGACUCCUAGCAAAUGAGUUUGCAGCUGAGAGUGAUUGUCCCAGUGAAAGUCAGCGUGGAAAAUGGAGUCUGAGAAGUGGGAACACUACCCACUCUACUCUCCUACCCCACACCCUUUCAUCUUCCAC